rnacentral:tRNA from 2 species
GCGCCUGUAGCUCAGGUGGAUAGAGCAACGGACUUCUAAUCCGUGUGCCAGGGGUUCGAGUCCCUUCAGGCGCGCCA